AACCUUGAACUGUCUAGACAACACCAUAAAACCCAAAGUUCUAAACAGCUUAAUUGGGUUAUAUUAUACACCUUCUGGUGGGCCCAAAAGAGAUUUCCGCAAUGUGCAAUAAACUGGAGACGUGAGAAAACCUCCUCUUGAUCUGACCAGAGUGAAGUGGAUCUCAUGACUCUUAACCUCUCAGAAGCCCAAAGUCUAAAAAUAAAUCCAUAAGAUGCACAGCAGCUCAUGCCUCUUCUGAGGAAGUAUGCUUUUUAAAAUAUGAAUUUUUUAAAUUGCCAAAGCUUUGGGGGGGGUAAAGAAAAACAUAAGUGUAUAAGUGUAUGCCUUUGAACUUCCAAAAUGUCAAGGUCAUCACCUUUAACCUCUCUGAAUAAUUAGGCGCCUUAAAGUUCUUCUGUGAUUUCUAACCACCGCCCAGGCUCAUACAUCCAGACCCACACACAUAUUUAUGACCAUACAGAUUCAUACUGGGGGUUCACCAUAAAUCUAGGAAAAUUCCUAAUUUCAGGAUCAAUAACUAUAAUUUCCCUCCCAACAUUUGAGUAAUUUAAUAGCAACUGACUUCUUAGG
rnacentral:lncRNA from 1 species